rnacentral:rRNA from 1 species
GAUAAACGCUGGCGGCGUGCAUUAGACAUGCAAGUCGAACGAAGGAUCGGGCUUGCUCGAUCCUUAGUGGCGGACGGCUGCGUAUCGGGUAGGUGACCUACCCCGAAGUGGGGAAUAACUGCCCGAAAGGGUGGCCAAUGCCGCUUGCGGACGAACGUUCAUUCCUCCGGGUUAAGCGGCAAGGCGCUUUGGGAGGGGCAUAAGUCCGAUUAGCUCGUUGGUAGGGUAAUGGCUUACCAAGGCGGAGAUGGGUAGGUGGGCUGAGAGGACGAUCACACAAAAUGGGAGUGAGACACGGCCCAGACUCCUACGGGAGGCGGCAGUCGGGAAUUUUGCAAAAUCGGGGAAACGCUGAAGCAGCAACGACGCGUGAAGGAUGAAGGCCUUCGGGUUGUAAACCUCUUUUGUCAGGGACGAUGAUGACGGUACCUGGCGAAUAAGCCACGGCUAACUACGUG